ACUGCACACAGUCACGGUCUCCAGAGGCCCUCCUUAGAGUUACACAGCUACUCGCAGAACCAUCCUAAUGUUGAGAUUUCAUUUACCUUGAAGGUGGAUGGGUCCCCUCAAGCAGUCAUGGCCCUUUGGGGUUCAUGGGGGUGACCGUCAAUGUCCUUGGCUUGUGUCUGUCCUUAGGCCUGGCUACGGCUGCAAAGGUCUUGGUAUGGGUGAUGGAAGGAGCUGCCUGGCUCCUUUCUCUAUGCCCUUCCAGCUCCAGCCUUGACUGGACAUCUAGCCUUGCCCCUUAUACUCUAGGAUUUGUUCUGACCCCUACAUUUCUACAUGUAAAAAGCUUGCUUUCUUCACAGAGCUUUCCUGCGGUUCUUCUUCCCAAGUCAUCUCAGGUCAGCCUUUGUCCUUGACCUUCUUAGCCCCAAGUCUCUGAGUCCUGCCCAUUCUUUGCUAUCUGGUAUCCUUGCUGUCUCAGAACUCAGUUCUCCAGUGCCUGGGGUCCUGCUCUUAAGCUCCCAUCUCCUAGUGCUCAGGCUCCUGUCCGUCACCACCUCCCAGCAACUUCACCUUGGUCUGUGUCCACGCUUCUAGAUGCCUUGUCCCCAAGGGAUUCCCAAGCGUUGACCCUUGAUACUCUUGUAGCCAACUGCCUGAAGUUGCUUGAAGUCAACUGCCUGAAACCCUCAUUUGGGCCAGUUUCCUAUACUCUCAGCUGGAUCAAUAUGCUGGACCUUGGGCUCAGCCUCAGCUUUGGUUCAGGUACUUCUACUCCUCUGGGCCAUUCCCCUCAACCUGCUCUCCAGCUCUUAAAUCCCCCUUUUAAGACGUAGCGUACUUGAGGACAAGCGGUUGGAUGUGGCAACCAGAGAAGGAGCUGGAAUCCUGGAGUGGCCAAGAUCAUUCAGCAGAAGAAAUAGAUUGAGAAAAGAAGAGGGCUCAGGUAGAAUCACUCAAGGAACAAUAACAAGAAAUGGAGGAAGUGAUGGAGUUCAUGAUGACUCAGAGAGAGCUCCCUUCUCCUCCCCCUCCCCUUGAAUUCUGCAAGACAAAUGGUUAGCUCCAAUCUGGAUUGUUCUUGAUGACGACAGAGACCAAAACAUUUCCUUGAACUUCACGCUGGAAUCAUUCACACAUAAGAGGACAUUUCCUUGGACGCCUGCCAGACACAGAAGGGCUUGCUUCUACCGCAGACAGUGUCCUGAUUAGUUUGAGGGGGUCGAGAAUGUUUAUUCUCCAUCUACCACCACGGAAAGCUCCUGGGAGCUGAAAUAUAUUCAGAUUCCUGACUCUUUCUCAACGCCCUGCAGAAACCCAGCAAAGACAGGACAAGGUACGACCCUCGAUGCCAGAGCUGGAGAGACGCCAAGACCCAGGGUCCCUCUGAGCUGAGGGACAGGAAGCCCAAGGAGGAGGUUAGGACUUGAGCAUCUGGGGACACGGACUAAGGGAAUUUGAACUAAGAAAUCGAGGCUGACAGUGUGGGUCAACCUCCUUAGCUGUGGAGUCCAUGACUUCUAGGUCCUCCUUCAAAUUUCCAAUGGCUAGGAUUCUCAGAACCGGAAGUAGCUUGAAAACAAAGCCAUCCAUGUUUCCUGCUGUCUCUCUACUCCUCAUCUCGUGCACGAAAUCUGGUUGGCACACUUAUGGAACCAGUUCCCCUUGAGGGUCGAAAGUGGCCAGGAUGUUUCCCAUCUAACGAAGAUCUCCUUUGAAUCUGGGGACUGGCUGAGGUGUGCUGAAACAGGCUUGUGCCAGUGGAGAGACCUAAUCUGUGCCUCUCCUCUCACCUUCAUGCUCAGUGAUAUCGUGUCGGAGAGCGCGCACUGACAGCACGUCACUGGAAAUACCCCUUUAAAAAAAUCUCUCAGAGGAACCAGCAGCCGGUGCAAUUAGAAUCUUCUCCAUGCCACUCCCCACCUCUCUGGAAGCUCCGGUGCUAAGUGGGCGCAAAACAAAUGUGAAUUACACAAUCUCUCUGGAAGGGCCCGUUUUCUUUUCAGUUCUCAUCGAUCGCCAUCCCCUUAUCAGGAUUUCUGGUAGACUUCACUGACUGCAGAAUCACGGUUCCCCUGCCAUGUUCUUUUCAUUACGUUGCCUUCUCUGUGGGUUUAUUCCUAAUAACCCUCGGAGCCAACAAGCAGGGCUGUCUGCUCGCAGGGGUUCCAGAGCCCUAGGGAGGAUUGCUAUGAAUAUGGAUUUCGAGGCCCAGCCUCCAAGACAGUCUAUCCGUGGCUCUGGGUUGGGGCCCAGGAAUCUGUAUGUUGAAUAAGCUCCCCAGGUGGGUCUGGUGGAGGCAGCCGAGGCCCAGAAACCUGGGUGGGGCAGACUUUUGGAAACCGCUGCAUAAGUGUCGGCGGAUAUGCGGGGCUCCUGCGAGGCAGCUUGUGUGUUUGUUCAGAGCCAGCUGGGGUUUUCCUGGUUGACAGGCAACGUCUGAGGGCUUCUGCUCAGUCAUCCUUCAGCCCGGAAGACAUGGGAAGUCUCGGUGACCUUCCUGAUGACCCAGGGACACAAAGGCUGUCUCCGAGGUCCAAGAGGGGGUGAACUGAUUACCUGCCUCUUGAGAAGCUCAAUUCCACAUCAUUUUCUAAUUUGUCAUUUCCAAAUGAAGCCCAGAGGCUGCCAGGGGAGCUCGGCUGCGCCCAGUCGAAGGUCAGGCACAUCAUGCCCUGACUCAUCGUUGCACCCCAGUUUUGCUCUGAUGAUGAGUGGGUGCCCCCCUCAACCCCCCGCCCCGCCCCGUGACUCCCAAACUUCAGGAUGCAAAUGAAUCACCCAAGGAGCUUGUGAAAAAGCCUGAUUCCCAGGCUCCUGCCCAGGUUCCUGUUACACAAUGUCCAGGGUGGAUCCGGGAAACCCCUCGUUCAACAAGCUCACCAGGUGAUUUAUUUAAUAUUAGCU